ACAAUUGUGGCCAGGAAAGUCGUACCCAUGUAAUAGGAUAGCACUCUAAAACCCAUUCGUCCAGAACUCUUGGCAUCGAGUUGGGCCAUACCUACAGGAUAAUGAUUACCAAGUACCUAUGCAUCUAUCAGCGACGAUACUAUCAAUGGCAAAAUGAACAUUUUCAGAAGUCUCAUCAAAAUCUCUCCUGGAAAACUAACAAUCAUUAUAGACGGCGGUGAAAAAUUAGCCAAGCGGCCGAGAAAUCCAAAUGCAAGGCCGAACAGGAUUCCAGCAAUGAUGGUGCAGAAUAUCAGUACUUACCACUUGCAACCUGUCGAGAGGUCCUCGUCCGGAUUCACGUCGAUCAUUGCCACCACUGUCUGUGUCAUCGCAGUAAUUAUUUUGUAAAUCGUCCUCGGUGCUCUUCGUCUGUACUUCGAUGUCUCUGAUAUGGGGUCUAAAACCACGUAAUAGUUACACACGAUGUCAUGACAGCGUAGUUUUAAACCUGCUUUAAUUCGAUGGUUUAACGAGAUUUGGAAAUCAUUGCUACUAAUUCUGUGAUGAUAAAUAUUGCUGGGACGAACAUUUCGGCUCUUCUUCAAUCGGUAAAAACUUAUCAUAAAUUCUGAGCCAAAGAACACAAACUUCAAACUACAGCAGUAUAACAAUAAUCUUUUGAAGUGGCGAACAGUACGCUCAAAUGAUCGGAGAACAAGAAAUAGUCGCUACUGGUUACCCACGCAAGUUGAACCAGUUCUUCCAUGAGCUGGAUAUUAAUUUUAUUUGCAACGCAAAUGGGUUACUCGACACUUUGAUUGGCAGUCAAGUACUUUAACUCAAAGGCAAAAAAUACCUGGUGGUCGUACAGAACAAUCAGGUCUUGGUAAUUUGGAAUGGUAUUAAAUUCUUCUCCACUUAUGUUCUGCAUGCAGAACUGUUACCCAAACUAGAGCACAAUCCUUGUUACUAACAUCUAGAAUUUCUUCGCACUGUUUAAGUUUAUCACUGACUGAAUAAUGCACUCCCCAACCAGGGUCUGAUUAUAGUAGGAGAAGAGCCGGUGGUUGGACUGGGUGAGGGGAAUUCAUACACCAGAUAAACGACGGGAAUCACUGCAGGAAGUCGGUGCUCAUCGCGAAGAGUUCCCGGCCACCUGCUAUCCCUCUUUUCCCUGCCGGACGAGGUAUUCACAGUCUUCACCAAAGCUGCACUGAAUGGUCUAAAACGACGCAUCUUCUGCGGACUCUGGAGGCUUUCGAAAUUCUUAUUUCUUAGAGACAAUAUUUUUUUUUAAAUAAUUUUAGGAGAAUCUACAUCAGUACGAACCAUGAUCACAAUAGUUAUUCAUU